CAGCCAUUUCCAUUCCAUGCUUGUGAUGCAUACUUCGUAUUUUUUGUCAACUUUAAUAAGGUUUGAGUAGGAUAACCUCGCCAGCUGUGUUCAAUCUGAGAAUCCAUUUGGAUCAUGAUUUUCUACCCAGAAUGAGAGAAAUCAAGAAAACGGCACGUGGCUCACACUUCAGUUAUCUGCAUGAACACCAUGGAUUUAAUGGCAUGAACAUUUACAUUGAACCCUGCGUGCCAGGCAGGGCAUGGAUUACCUCUACUUGACAGAUAAAUAUUCAAAGGCCCAGACCAUGAAGUAGCCACAGUGGAGCCUCUGUCCCAAUUUCCAUCCUGGAU
rnacentral:lncRNA from 1 species